UAUCGUUUCCUCACCGGUUUUGUUCCUUGUACGUACAACUUCCGGUAAAAAAAUUGUUUACUUGUCGUCAAGAUUUCCCUAAAAAUCAUCUUUGAAUACAAGUUUAUCUAAUUUAGAAAUGUCAUAAACUUCAUACUGGCAUAAAGAAGGCACAGCAAAAAUAUCUCCGUCCAUUAUUAUAUAUUGAAAUACGUUAGAACUUGGGCAGAAGCAAGAAGGAAAAGUAAAAAAUGCCAGAAUCCAAGAAUUUAUUGAAAGAAGUCUUACCCAAACAAGGUUUACUGUAUCAAGAGGAUAUGCCUACAGUAGUUUUAUGUAAACCAAAAAUUCUGCCACUUAAAUCUGUGACAU